GACGUAGGGCGCGAGCGUUGUCCGGAUUUAUUGGGCGUAAAGAGCUCGUAGGCGGCUCGUUGCGUCGGCUGUGAAAAACCCGCAGCUCAACUGUGGGCUUGCAGCCGAUACGGGCGGGCUGGGAUUCGGUAGGGGAGACUGGAAUUCCUGGUGUAGCGGUGAAAUGCGCAGAGUAUCAGGAGGAACACCCGGUGGCGAAGGCGGGGUCUCUGGGCCGAUAUCGACGCUGAGGGAGCGAAAGCGUGGGGAGCGAACAGG
rnacentral:rRNA from 1 species